rnacentral:rRNA from 1 species
GGGAGACAGGUGGUGCAUGGUUGUCGUCAGCUCGUGUCGUGAGAUGUUGGGUUAAGUCCCGCAACGAGCGCAACCCCUACGUUUAGUUGCUAACGCGUGAAGGCGAGCACUCUAGACGAACUGCCGUUGACAAAACGGAGGAAGGUGGGAUGACGUCAAAUCAUCAUGCCCCUUAUGUUCUGGGCUACACACGUGCUACAAUGGCCGGUACAGACGGACGCAAAGCCGCGAGGUGGAGCAAAUCCUAAAAAGCCGGUCUCAGUUCGGAUUGCAGGCUGCAAUUCGCCUGCAUGAAGUCGGAAUCGCUAGUAAUCGCAGGUCAGCAUACUCGCGGUCGAAUACGUUCCGGGCCUU